UCAGUGCUCUUAAUUGUUGAGCCAUCUCUCCAGCUGUUUAAUGGAUGCUAAUGAAGUAAUUUGUGAGUUUAUUUCUAAUCUGCUUUUUAGAUCCUAGUAGACAUGUGUGGUGGCACAUGCCUAAUCCCAGCAUUUUUGCAUGUGAUGGCUGUACAUGAAUUUCUGUGAGUUGGGAGACCAGUCUAGUCUACAGAGAAUGCCAGGUACACAGGACACAGUUCUGUCUCACAAAACAAAACAAAACAAAACAAAACAAAACAAAAAUAAAAAACCUUUGCUUUUGUUUGUAAUUCUUUCUAAAAACCCAACUUUGCUAGUGUAGGCUAUUUUAUUCUAAGUUUUUUUCACUUUACUCCCAUGGUUUAAUAAUGGUAUAUAGCUUUUUGGUAUGAAGUUUUCAUUCUUCAGAAAGUAUUUCACAUGUAAAUUCAAGUAUUAUUUUCUAUAUAACUAUAUAUCUGAAUUUUAAUGAUACAACUUUCAUAAGUUUAAUUAAUGUAAGAAUGUCAUUAAUUUAUGGAAAGUUUUGAGCAAGUAAUGUGGAAAGAGAUCUUAAUCUUAAGAUCUGCUUUUAUCCCUGUGUUAGAUGUAUGCUGUUUCUUUUGCAUUCCUAUGAUAAGAAGUCUGGAACUUUAGAAGCUCAGAAUUGGUCAAUGCUGAGGAACAAAUCCUCUCACACUUUCUAUCAGCAGGCAGGCACGGUGAUACUGUGCUAAGUCCUCCUCUCAGUCCUCCUUUUCAAACAUUCCUGUGUCUUUUGAUACUUAGUUCUAAACCUUAGGACAGACUUCAGUAGUAAAACAUGCCUUGACUUUUAAGUAAAUGUUUAGUAACCUCUGACUAGUCUUUUUAGUCAAAUGUUACACUUUUUACACAGAAUAUCAGCAUUAUAAUUCAGUAGCAUUGUAACUCCAGCCUGCAUUUAGAGCAGUGGAUAAGUUCAGUUUUAGAAGCUGUGUCGUCCCAUUGUCCCCAUUGUGCUUUAGACUUGGGCUACUGUCACCAAUAGAACAAGCUUGAGCUCCUGUCACCACUCAGUACCAUCUGCUUGUGUGUGUGUGUAAGGAAUAGUAAGCCUUAGAUAAUGGCUACAAAGAGUCAUUGCUUUAUUGUCUUCUUAGCUGGCUCUGUUUAGGUUCUUGUAUGCUGGGCUGAGUUUUCACUCCUUAGACCUUUAAAAAGUCUAAAAGUGCCUAAGUUGGAAAAAGUUAUUUUAAAAACAAUCAAAUACUAAUAAGAGAGUUGUCUUUACAAGACGAACCAUCAUCCCUUCCCUUCCAUCCUGUGGUUAAUUUUCACAGUGUAUUAAAUCAGGUUUUUAGUCCUAUAAGCCACAGUGGUUUUUUUGUACAGCAAACCAUAAAAAGUGUCAGUUGUUAAGGGGAAGGAGCAGAUGAGCGGUGCCUAUGGGGUUUUCACGGCCAUAUGUGUGAAGUUUGUAUUAGUGCAGAGUACAACAGACAAAGAAAUAAGGUCUUAAAUUGUUACCUCCAAAUCAUGGGGCUAUGGACAGUUAUUUUAACACAGGGUCACGUGGUGUAGCUCACAGUGGCCUGAAUUGGAGGUCCUUGUACCUCCAGGCUGCUGACAGUCCAGCCAUGCACUCCACCAUCCCUUGGCUCAUUACAUUCCUUUAACCUUUUAUUUUUGGAGCUUUACCCAUUAUACUGUUUAUAUAUUUUAUACUCAGAAAAUAAAAGCUCUAAUAUGAAUUUUAUUAGAGUAUGAAAUUAAUUUUAAAGAUGAACGUUCUUAAAUAAAAUUAGUUAAACACUACAUAAUUUAAUAAAUAUAGCAUUUGAAGUAGAAUUAUGAGAAUUUUUAUAUGAUUAGAAUUUGUGGUCAAACUAAACAGGAGCAAAAUUGACUUUCUAGUUUCUGAAAAUGGGGAAUGAGAGAUCCGGAAAAGGUCUUAAGUGUUUAUGAUAGCAUGCCCUGGAAACUUUUAUCAUUGUAAUUGCCCAGUUACAUUGAUUUUCACCACUUUAUUGGUAAUUGUUUAUAACAGAACUUAAUUUUAUUCCUCUAAGUGGUAUGCUAAGUCUCAUUCUGUGUCAAUCAUAAUGUAUCUGUGACCAGCAGAAUAUUGGGCAAAAAAUUUGAUGUAAUACUUGGUAGGUGUUUUUAACCUCCUUCAUUUUCAGUUUCUGCAAAAUGG
ensembl:sense_intronic Gm43330 predicted gene 43330